rnacentral:lncRNA from 1 species
GGGGAUAGGCUUCAAGAUAUAUAGCACUGUCCGAUACUCUUUUUCUUUUUUUUUUACAAAAAUGCAUUAGAGAUACAUUAGGUUUUUUAAUUUAUUUAAAACUUCCAAAAAUCUAUUGUAAACAGUUUAGAAAGGUUAGUUAGCUUUGAUUUAAAAUAAAAUGGUAUUUCGUUCAUUUUGAAAAUAUUAAAACUUAGGUAAA